UUCGCUGAUUAUAAUUGCUUUUAUAUUUGUUUAAUUUUUCAGGUACGUUUGUAGCAGCUAAUAUUAAGGCCGACGCAACUGGGAUGCCAAGGUUUGCGAUUAAUCUAGAGGUAUAUUUGUAGCAGCUAAUGUUGAUGUUAAAGCCGUCGCAGCUGGGAUGCCGUGAUUUUGGGUUCUUCAAGUUUGCGAUUAGUCUGGAGGUACAUUUGUUGCAGCUCAUAUUGAGGCCGUCGCUGCUAGGAUCCCGUGGUUUUGAUUUCUUUACAUUUGCGAUUAAUCUGGAGUUAAGUAUUACGUUUGUUGUUAUAAUUGCUUUUAUAUUUGUUUAAUUUUUCAGGUACGUUUGUAGCAGCUAAUAUUAAGGCCGACGCAACUGGGAUGCCAAGGUUUGCGAUUAAUCUAGAGGUAUAUUUGUAGCAGCUAAUGUUGAUGUUAAAGCCGUCGCAGCUGGGAUGCCGUGAUUUUGGGUUCUUCAAGUUUGCGAUUAGUCUGGAGGUACAUUUGUUGCAGCUCAUAUUGAGGCCGUCGCUGCUAGGAUCCCGUGGUUUUGAUUUCUUUACAUUUGCGAUUAAUCUGGAGUUAAGUAUUACGUUUGUUGUUAUAAUUGCUUUUAUAUUUGUUUAAUUUUUCAGGUACGUUUGUAGCAGCUAAUAUUAAGGCCGACGCAACUGGGAUGCCAAGGUUUGCGAUUAAUCUAGAGGUAUAUUUGUAGCAGCUAAUGUUGAUGUUAAAGCCGUCGCAGCUGGGAUGCCGUGAUUUUGGGUUCUUCAAGUUUGCGAUUAGUCUGGAGGUACAUUUGUUGCAGCUCAUAUUGAGGCCGUCGCUGCUAGGAUCCCGUGGUUUUGAUUUCUUUACAUUUGCGAUUAAUCUGGAGUUAAGUAUUACGUUUGUUGUUAUAAUUGCUUUUAUAUUUGUUUAAUUUUUCAGGUACGUUUGUAGCAGCUAAUAUUAAGGCCGACGCAACUGGGAUGCCAAGGUUUGCGAUUAAUCUAGAGGUAUAUUUGUAGCAGCUAAUGUUGAUGUUAAAGCCGUCGCAGUUGGGAUGCCGUGAUUUUGGGUUCUUCAAGUUUGCGAUUAGUCUGGAGGUACAUUUGUUGCAGCUCAUAUUGAGGCCGUCGCUGCUAGGAUCCCGUGGUUUUGAUUUCUUUACAUUUUUUUUUUUUUUUUUUAAUAUUUUCAGCGCCUGUUGGUG